rnacentral:misc_RNA from 1 species
GGAAGUAGAAGUCGUAACAAGGUCUCCGUUGGUGAACCAGCGGAGGGGUCAUUACCGAGUGCAAACUCAUAACCCUUUGUGAACCUAUAUCUGUUGCUUCGGCGGCUCGCUCUCGGGCGAGCCCGCCGGUAAUAUCAGUAUCUCUGUUUGAACCCGACGAUACUUCUGAGUGUUCUUAGCGAACAGUUAAAACUUUUAACAACGGAUCUCUUGGCUCUC